rnacentral:rRNA from 1 species
UAACAGGAUUCCCCUAGUAACUGCGAGUGAAGCGGGAAAAGCUCAAAUUUAAAAUCUGGCGGUCUUUGGCCGUCCGAGUUGUAAUCUAGAGAAGUAAUGCCCGUGCUGGACCGUGUAUAAGUCUCCUGGGAUGGGGCGUCAUAGAGGGUGAGAAUCCCGUCUUUGACACGGACUACCAGUGCAUUGUGGUAUGCUCUCAAAGAGUCGAGUUGUUUGGGAAUGCAGCUCAAAAUGGGUGGUAAAUUCCAUCUAAAGCUAAAUAUUGGCGAGAGACCGAUAGCGAACAAGUACCGUGAGGGAAAGAUGAAAAGAACUUUGGAAAGAGAGUUAAACAGUACGUGAAAUUGCUGAAAGGGAAACGCUUGAAGUCAGUCGCGUUGGCCAGGGAUCAGCCUUGCUUUUGCAUGGUGUACUUUCUGGUUGACGGGUCAGCAUCAAUUUUGACCGCUGGAAAAGGGCCUGGGGAAUGUGGCAGCUUCGGCUGUGUUAUAGCCCCUGGUCGCAUACAGUGGUUGGGAUUGAGGAACUCAGCACGCCGCAAGGCCGGGUUUCGACCACGUUCGUGCUUAGGAUGCUGGCAUAAUGGCUUUAAGCGGCCCGUCUUGAAACACGGACCAAGGAGUCUAACAUGCCUGCGAGUAUUUGGGUGGAAAACCCGAGUGCGCAAUGAAAGUGAAAGUUGAGAUCCCUGUCGUGGGGAGCAUCGACGCCCGGACCAGAACUUUUGGGACGGAUCCGCGGUGGAGCAUGUAUGUUGGGACCCGAAAGAUGGUGAACUAUGCCUGAAUAGGGUGAAGCCAGAGGAAACUCUGGUGGAGGCUCGUAGCGAUUCUGACGUGCAAAUCGAUCGUCAAAUUUGGGUAUAGGGGCGAAAGACUAAUCGAACCAUCUAGUAGCUGGGUUCCUGCCGA